CAGAAUUACUCAGGUAGCAGUUGGCCUGUGGAGUUAGGUCCUCUACUUGCGGAAACCAUCCUGGAAGCAAGCGAUAAACCUUCAGGUUUGUUUUCUCUAACAUGUCAUUUUUUUUUCUUCUCUGUUCUUGUUCACUUCAGUUAGAUUGGUAAAAUGAUGCCAGUGAGGUGAAUGGUUUGAGGAGAAGCUCUCUUGUUUGAAGAACUAUCAGUACCAUCUCUCCUGGAGCCCAUGUCUGAGCUUUGUUGACUCCCCAGCUGUAGUACCAAUCCAGACAGAGGGCUUAGCCUAUGAGGUCUGCUGGGAUCAGGACACAGAAAGCGGGCCUGAGGUUAAGUCCUGCAUUUAACUCUACUGGGAGGUGAUCUGAUGUUGUCUUCAUCAGGAACCAGUUUAAGCCCUAUAUUUUUUGUUAGGCUCACUCACUCCAGCCUCCUUCAACAUAAUCUCUCCAGCCUGAGGCCAUCUUCCUGCCCACUGCCUUUCCUGGGUAGCUGCAGGAAAACAGGAAUCGUCAGAUAAAGCUGGGGAUCAGCAUUCCUACCUCAAGGCCAAAGCUCUCUACAUGGAGGGGAGUAUUUCAGGAGCAAUAAAUGUAAUCAGACCAUGGAAUAUCA
rnacentral:lncRNA from 1 species